rnacentral:rRNA from 1 species
GAUGAACGCUGGCGGCGUGCCUAAUACAUGCAAGUCGAGCGAAUGGAUUAAGAGCUUGCUCUUAUGAAGUUAGCGGCGGACGGGUGAGUAACACGUGGGUAACCUGCCCAUAAGACUGGGAUAACUCCGGGAAACCGGGGCUAAUACCGGAUAACAUUUUGAACCGCAUGGUUCGAAAUUGAAAGGCGGCUUCGGCUGUCACUUAUGGAUGGACCCGCGUCGCAUUAGCUAGUUGGUGAGGUAACGGCUCACCAAGGCAACGAUGCGUAGCCGACCUGAGAGGGGUACCGGCCACACUGGGACAGAGACACUGCCCAGACUCCUACGGGAGGCAGCAGUAGGGAAUCUUCCGCAAUGGACGAAAGUCUGACGGAGCAACGCCGCGUGAGUGAUGAAGGCUUUCGGGUCGUAAAACUCUGUUGUUAGGGAAGAACAAGUGCUAGUUGAAUAAGCUGGCACCUUGACGGUACCUAACCAGAAAGCCACGGCUAACUACGUGCCAGCCGCCGCCGUAA